rfam:Sphaeroforma arctica JP610 cont1.10101, whole genome shotgun sequence.
UCCUUUGAAGCUAACCGGUGCAGCGCUUCACUUGUAAUGAAGAGAUAUCCAGUUCGACUCUGGGCAAGGGCU